rnacentral:rRNA from 1 species
CCCUUAGAUGUUCUGGGCCGCACGCGCGCUACACUGAUACGUUCAACGAGUCCAAAACCUUGAUUGAUAGGUCUGGGUAAUCUUUUGAAGACGUAUCGUGCUAGGGAUAGAUUAUUGCAAUUAUUAAUCUUGAACGAGGAAUUCCUAGUAAACGCAAGUCAUCAGCUUGCAUUGAUUACGUCCCUGCCCUUUGUACACACCGUCCGUCGCACCUACCGAUUGAAUGACUCGGUGAAAAAUUGGGACCGUGAUUGAAAUUGCUUCAUUGCGAAUUUAAUUAUGGAAACUUUCUUUAACCUAGGCAUUUAGAGGAAGGUGAAGUCGUAACA